UUGACGGGGACCCGCACAAGCGUGGAUGAUGUGGAUUAAUUCGAUGCAACGCGAAAACCUUACCUGCCCUUGACAUGUCUGGAACCUUGGUGAGAGCCGAGGGUGCCUUCGGGAGCCAGAACACAGGUGCUGCAUGGCUGUCGUCAGCUCGUGUCGUGAGAUGUUGGGUUAAGUCCCGCAACGAGCGCAACCCUUGUCACUAGUUGCCAUCAUUUGGUUGGGCACUCUAGUGAGACUGCCGGUGACAAACCGGAGGAAGGUGGGGAUGACGUCAAGUCCUCAUGGCCCUUAUGGGUAGGGCUUCACACGUCAUACAAUGGUCGGUACAGAGGGUUGCCAAGCCGCGAGGUGGAGCCAACCCCUUAAAGCCGGUCUCAGUUCGGAUUGGAGUCUGCAACUCGACUCCAUGAAGUUGGAAUCGCUAGUAAUCGCGGAUCAGCAUGCCCGCGGUCGAAUACGUUCCCGGGCCUU
rnacentral:rRNA from 1 species